GCCUGGCUGGCUCAGUUUGUGGAGCAUGGGACUCUUGAUCUUGGGGUUGUGAGUUCAAGCCUCAUGUUGGGUG
rnacentral:tRNA from 1 species